UACGUAGGGUGCGAGCGUUGUCCGGAAUUAUUGGGCGUAAAGGGCUCGUAGGCGGUUUGUCGCGUCGGGAGUGAAAUCCAUUGGCUUAACUGUGGGCUUGCGGUCGAUACGGGCAUCACUGGAGUUCGGCAGGGGAGACUGGAAUUCCUGGUGUAGCGGUGAAAUGCGCAGAUAUCAGGAAGAACACCCGUGGCUAAGGCGGCUCUCUAGUACGGUACUGACGCUGAGACGCGAAAGCGUGGGGAGCGAACAGG
rnacentral:rRNA from 1 species